rnacentral:hammerhead_ribozyme from 1 species
AUUCGGCUGACGGGUCCAAAAUAGGACGAAACGCGUUCCCUGGAU